UACCUGGUUGAUCCUGCCAGUAGUCAUAUGCUUGUSUCA
rnacentral:rRNA from 1 species